CGGCUGCACACCAGUCCUGCAAAGUGGGCCACCUACCAACCUUGUAAGCUUUCUGCAGUUUUUUCCAUGAAUAAAAGCAGUCCAAUCAAAAUGGCAAAUUCAUAGGAGAAAACCAGGUCUUCAGUUUCUUUCUGAACCCCAGAAGGGAUGGAGCCUGCCGGAUGUUGCUGAGGAGGGAGUUCCACGGCCGAGGAGCCACUACCGAGAAGGCCUUGUCUCUCGUCCCCACCAACCGUGCUUGAGAGGCGGGCGGGAUUGAGAGCAGGGCCUCCCCAGAUGAUCUUAAUGUUCUGGUAGUCGUAAAUCUUGUUUCAACCUUACAAUGCAUGCCUUCAACCUCAUUGG
rnacentral:lncRNA from 11 species